AUACGUAGGGGGCGAGCGUUGUCCGGAAUGAUUGGGCGUAAAGGGCGCGUAGGCGGCCCGGUAAGUCUGGAGUGAAAGUCCUGCUUUUAAGGUGGGAAUUGCUUUGGAUACUGUCGGGCUUGAGUGUAGGAGAGGUAAGUGGAAUUCCCAGUGUAGCGGUGAAAUGCGUAGAGAUUGGGAGGAACACCAGUGGCGAAGGCGACUUACUGGACUGUAACUGACGCUGAGGCGCGAAAGUGUGGGGAGCAAACAGGAUUAGAUACCCUGGUAGUCCACACUGUAAACGAUGAAUGCUAGGUGUAGGGGGUAUCGACCCCUUCUGUGCCGCAGUUAACACAAUAAGCAUUCCGCCUGGGGAGUACGGCCGCAAGGUUGAAACUCAAAUGAAUUGACGGGG
rnacentral:rRNA from 1 species